UACGUAGGGGCCAAGCGUUGUCCGGAUUUAUUGGGCGUAAAGAGCUUGUAGGCGGUUUGUCGCGUCUGCUGUGAAAAUCCGGGGCUCAACCCCGGACUUGCAGUGGGUACGGGCAGACUAGAGUGUGGUAGGGGAGACUGGAAUUCCUGGUGUAGCGGUGAAAUGCGCAGAUAUCAGGAGGAACACCGAUGGCGAAGGCAGGUCUCUGGGCCACUACUGACGCUGAGAAGCGAAAGCGUGGGGAGCGAACAGG
rnacentral:rRNA from 1 species